rnacentral:lncRNA from 1 species
CCCGGAUUCACACCAUUCUCCUGCCUCAGCCUCCCGAGCAGCUGGAACUACAGGCGCCCGCCACCAAGCCCGGCUAAUUUUUUUGUAUUUUUAGUAGAGACGGGGUUUCACCGUGUUAACCAGGAUGGUCUCCAUCUCCUGACCUCGUGAUCCGCCUGCCUCGGCCUCCCAAAGUGCUGGGAUUACAGGCGUGAGCCACCGCGCCCAGCCGCUUCAACAUUUUAAAGUACUUUGAAGGGUCCCUCCUUCUGGAUUGAUAAGGGUGGGAACAUUCAAGCUACCGAUAAGACCUCUGCACCCAGCUCCUGUCCCUCCACUCCCUACGGCUCAGCUUUGAAGUUCCAAAAACCCUGCCUCUGUGACCUGAUUGUGUUAUCUUCAUAACCAAGCUCAUGUUGCAUGUGGAUGGCUGCAGCUCAGCAGCUGUAGAAUCUGCACCACCUGUCUUAUGCUGAGAUCCAGCCUGGAGGAACACCCCUCUGUGGAAUGUGGCACUCUCUUGGCAGAAAGAGCAAGAAAGCAGGCAGAAACUCAUGAAGACUCUUAAAGGCUUCUGCUUGGGCACGGGGUGGGAAAUGUUUAGAUUCAAAGUGGACAUUAGACCCAGUGGCCCAGCUGGAAUCAGGAGGUGUGGAUGGAUGACACCCUUACCGUCCAACUCAUUAACUUUCUGUAUCUCUGUGAGCCAAGAAUCUUGACUUUUCAGGAGGUGACAAUCGGACAUGAUACUUGCAGUAAGAGAGAGGUGCUGACCUAAAGCAGAAAGAUUUUUCAGCUCUGAACCCUUCAGUCUAUUAAUGUCUACACCACCUGUUAAAUGAGAUGAUCAAAUGCCUUCUAUGGUGUCAGCCUCUCUAUGUCAAGGUUUCCAUUAAUCUUAAAGCAAUGCUAAAGAGUUCACCACUGCACCACUGCCUCCUUUGCCUGAUUCCCCUGAUGCCUUUUGUUCCCCCCAUUUUUGGCCACAACUAACCAUUCAGUCAUUCAACAAAUCCCUCUUGGGCACCUCCUCUGUGCCAGACACGAUGCUAAGCAUUGGGAGUAAAUGAAGAAUAAAAUGCAGACUAAACCCUCAGAGCAUCCCCCAGCUAGUAGAAGAGACAGGCAAAUAAAGUGAUUGUUACAGAAUCAUAAUCUCACUGCAUUGGGAAGUCUGAGAGGCCUGAGGUCAAGUCUCAGCGUUACUAUUUAUUACCUGUGUCAUCCUGGGAAAAUCUGCAUUUGAUUUCUCAUCAAUAAAAUAAGGAUAAAGUUCCCUAUCAAAUAGGGUUUGGGUGAGGAUUAGCAAGGUAAUGUACAGGACUUGGCACAUUAUUGAAUGUAGAUGGUAAUAAUGUAUUGUAUAUUUCAAAAUACCUAAGAGUACAUUUUAAAUGUUUCACUAUAAAAAAUGAUAGUUAAACAAG